rnacentral:rRNA from 1 species
CCCUUAGAUGUUCUGGGCCGCACGCGUGCUACACUGAGUGGAUCAGCGGGUCAGGUUGCGCGAAAGUGUUUCCUAAUCUUGAAAUCCGCUCGUGAUGGGGAUUGACGGUUGCAAUUUUCCGUCAUGAACGAGGAAUACCUUGUAAGCGCGGGUCAUCAUCCCGCGCUGAAUACGUCCCUGCCCUUUGUACACACCGCCCGUCGCUCCUACCGAUUGAGUGGUCCGGUGAGGCUUUGGGAUCUGAGCAAAGGGAGCGUUUCGCUCGUUUUGCCCGGAAAACUCAGUCGAACCUUAUCAUUUAGAGGAAGGAGAAGUCGUAACA